GGAGGUGGGAGAAGCUGCGGAAAAGUACCAAGAUGAAGAUAGUACCAGGUAAGGAUUCUGAAUGUUAGCUUUCACUAAUUCUCCUUCCGAAUGCUAAAGCCUAACUGCGAUCUUCUGUCACUAAUCUUCCCUCAGAAUGGUAACAAAAUAUUGCAAGUUCUUGCUAUGAACACUCGUGUAGAAUUAUUAUUACGGUUCACUAGUUUUCUUUUGGCUUUUGAACACAUCAUGUGCCUACUUAAUUUACAGUCGAUCUGCCUUCCUUUGCAAUGUUGACAAAACAGCACAACUGUACGCCUUCUUGUUAUUCACAUGCAUAUAGAAUCACUGUUCACCGUCAUUGUUGAACAAAUAUUGUGAUUGUUGAAGAAAUACCAUGAUUCUUGAAAAAUUUUGUGAUAUUUUGAACAAAUACUGUGAUUCUUGAACAAAUUACCAUGUUUCUUGAACAGAUAUCCAUGAUUCUUGAACAAAUUCUCAUGUCAGUAAUUAUCUUGAGCUAUGUGACCGAUUGGCCUGUCUAUUUGUACUUGGAGAGAUAAUCAUUAGAUAUCAGUUGGUUUUCUUACCUUCUUUCAUGAUGUUAAUGGGCUUUCUUUUAGUGUGUUAGAUUUAGUUUAACUGUACGCUGGGGAGAUUGUUCAGGACAUAUGCAUUAUUUGAUUUGACAACAUCACAUGGUCUUUUAUCAUAAAGAACAUUUUGUUUAUACCACUUGAUAAAGGAUAUUUUGGUACCACCCAACUGGCAACCACCUCAGAUCACACGUGGCGUCACUCCAGUCAAAGUAAUGCACAUAUCUCAAUGCAGUGUGAAACGACACAG
rnacentral:lncRNA from 1 species